UGUGAGCUCGAUGAGUAGGGCGGGACACGUGGUAUCCUGUCUGAAUAUGGGGGGACCAUCCUCCAAGGCUAAAUACUCCUGACUGACCGAUAGUGAACCAGUACCGUGAGGGAAAGGCGAAAAGAACCCCGGCGAGGGGAGUGAAAAAGAACCUGAAACCGUGUACGUACAAGCAGUGGGAGCACGCUUAGGCGUGUGACUGCGUACCUUUUGUAUAAUGGGUCAGCGACUUAUAUUCUGUAGCAAGGUUAACCGAAUAGGGGAGCCGAAGGGAAACCGAGUCUUAACUGGGCGUUAAGUUGCAGGGUAUAGACCCGAAACCCGGUGAUCUAGCCAUGGGCAGGUUGAAGGUUGGGUAACACUAACUGGAGGACCGAACCGACUAAUGUUGAAAAAUUAGCGGAUGACUUGUGGCUGGGGGUGAAAGGCCAAUCAAACCGGGAGAUAGCUGGUUCUCCCCGAAAGCUAUUUAGGUAGCGCCUCGUGAAUUCAUCUCCGGGGGUAGAGCACUGUUUCGGCAAGGGGGUCAUCCCGACUUACCAACCCGAUGCAAACUGCGAAUACCGGAGAAUGUUAUCACGGGAGACACACGGCGGGUGCUAACGUCCGUCGUGAAGAGGGAAACAACCCAGACCGCCAGCUAAGGUCCCAAAGUCAUGGUUAAGUGGGAAACGAUGUGGGAAGGCCCAGACAGCCAGGAUGUUGGCUUAGAAGCAGCCAUCAUUUAAAGAAAGCGUAAUAGCUCACUGGUCGAGUCGGCCUGCGCGGAAGAUGUAACGGGGCUAAACCAUGCACCGAAGCUGCGGCAGCGACGCUGAUGCGUUGUUGGGUAGGGGAGCGUUCUGUAAGCCUGCGAAGGUGUGCUGUGAGGCAUGCUGGAGGUAUCAGAAGUGCGAAUGCUGACAUAAGUAACGAUAAAGCGGGUGAAAAGCCCGCUCGCCGGAAGACCAAGGGUUCCUGUCCAACGUUAAUCGGGGCAGGGUGAGUCGACCCCUAAGGCGAGGCCGAAAGGCGUAGUCGAUGGGAAACAGGUUAAUAUUCCUGUACUUGGUGUUACUGCGAAGGGGGGACGGAGAAGGCUAUGUUGGCCGGGCGACGGUUGUCCCGGUUUAAGCGUGUAGGCUGGUUUUCCAGGCAAAUCCGGAAAAUCAAGGCUGAGGCGUGAUGACGAGGCACUACGGUGCUGAAGCAACAAAUGCCCUGCUUCCAGGAAAAGCCUCUAAGCAUCAGGUAACAUCAAAUCGUACCCCAAACCGACACAGGUGGUCAGGUAGAGAAUACCAAGGCGCUUGAGAGAACUCGGGUGAAGGAACUAGGCAAAAUGGUGCCGUAACUUCGGGAGAAGGCACGCUGAUAUGUAGGUGAAGCGACUUGCUCGUGGAGCUGAAAUCAGUCGAAGAUACCAGCUGGCUGCAACUGUUUAUUAAAAACACAGCACUGUGCAAACACGAAAGUGGACGUAUACGGUGUGACGCCUGCCCGGUGCCGGAAGGUUAAUUGAUGGGGUCAGCGCAAGCGAAGCUCUUGAUCGAAGCCCCGGUAAACGGCGGCCGUAACUAUAACGGUCCUAAGGUAGCGAAAUUCCUUGUCGGGUAAGUUCCGACCUGCACGAAUGGCGUAAUGAUGGCCAGGCUGUCUCCACCCGAGACUCAGUGAAAUUGAACUCGCUGUGAAGAUGCAGUGUACCCGCGGCAAGACGGAAAGACCCCGUGAACCUUUACUAUAGCUUGACACUGAACAUUGAGCCUUGAUGUGUAGGAUAGGUGGGAGGCUUUGAAGUGUGGACGCCAGUCUGCAUGGAGCCGACCUUGAAAUACCACCCUUUAAUGUUUGAUGUUCUAACGUGGACCCGUGAUCCGGGUUGCGGACAGUGUCUGGUGGGUAGUUUGACUGGGGCGGUCUCCUCCUAAAGAGUAACGGAGGAGCACGAAGGUUGGCUAAUCCUGGUCGGACAUCAGGAGGUUAGUGCAAUGGCAUAAGCCAGCUUGACUGCGAGCGUGACGGCGCGAGCAGGUGCGAAAGCAGGUCAUAGUGAUCCGGUGGUUCUGAAUGGAAGGGCCAUCGCUCAACGGAUAAAAGGUACUCCGGGGAUAACAGGCUGAUACCGCCCAAGAGUUCAUAUCGACGGCGGUGUUUGGCACCUCGAUGUCGGCUCAUCACAUCCUGGGGCUGAAGUAGGUCCCAAGGGUAUGGCUGUUCGCCAUUUAAAGUGGUACGCGAGCUGGGUUUAGAACGUCGUGAGACAGUUCGGUCCCUAUCUGCCGUGGGCGCUGGAGAACUGAGGGGGGCUGCUCCUAGUACGAGAGGACCGGAGUGGACGCAUCACUGGUGUUCGGGUUGUCAUGCCAAUGGCACUGCCCGGUAGCUAAAUGCGGAAGAGAUAAGUGCUGAAAGCAUCUAAGCACGAAACUUGCCCCGAGAUGAGUUCUCCCUGACUCCUUGA
rnacentral:rRNA from 1 species